rnacentral:rRNA from 1 species
UACAGAGGGUGCGAGCGUUAUUCGGAAUUACUGGGCGUAAAGCGCGCGUAGGCGGCUUUGCAAGUCGGGUGUGAAAUCCCCAGGCUUAACCUGGGAACUGCAUUCGAGACUGCAUUGCUAGAGUAUGGGAGAGGGAAGUGGAAUUUCCGGUGUAGCGGUGAAAUGCGUAGAUAUCGGAAGGAACAUCAGUGGCGAAGGCGACUUCCUGGACCAAUACUGACGCUCAUGUGCGAAAGCGUGGGGAGCAAACAGG